GAUAGGUACGCGUGGAAAGAAGGUGGCAAGGAUAGGAAGUUAACCUCAGCUUACACACGACAGAACUCACGUUAUGCACCUUAUGCGAAGAAGAAGCCGAAGACAUGAAGGGUUAAGGAAAGAUCAGAGCCACAUGAUGCGUAUAAUGUGGAAAGAAUUGAGUCAUUUGCUCAUCGAACACAGCUACGGAACAUUGGGGAAUCAUUUGUACAUCAACCAGCUGAUGAAACAUUCUACGACUCUCAUAAGAGUAGUGGGAAGAGGAUUGCAAGUCAAAUUGUGACACCGGCUCGGCAUGAUAAUGAUGAUAAUGUGACAAAACACCCUAGAGUUUCUCCUUGUUUGUUAACUUUCUCUCCUACGGAGAAAGUGUUACCGGCUGAUGCUCAGAUUAUUGGUGCUCUAAAUGAUAUGGAGAUCAUUGAUACAACCAACACAGACGUUGAGCUACAUGAUACGAUGAUGGUUGCGGAGACUCAAGAUGAUGAUUUGCUUGGGGAAGAUUUAAUGGAUAUGGAGGACGGUACUAAUACAGAAACAGAAGGCAAUGGGCGAAAGGUUGUGUGGAAGGGAGAUACAACUGCACUUGUAUAGCUGAGAUCCUCAUCUUCUUAUAAGAGUGGUGGUAGGUCUUUGGGAUUACAGAGUAAUAAGGCGGGUUUCCUUCGUCGAGGAUCUCCGCAAGCGCGUCGAUCGUCUUCAAGAGACAAAGCUCAUUCAGAAAAACAACAUCCAGGGCCGAUUAAGAGUUCGAGAGACAGUACACGCAAGGGUAAUGGUUUGGAGGGGUUCAAAAGCUCCUCUGAAAAGUAUCCAUGAAGACAAUCAGUUGGAACUGUCGAGAGAUAGGGAACGACCUCACAGUUCGACACCUUACGGAGAUGUGUCAGAAGCAUCGCCCAUGACUUGUGUUCCUUUCUGAGACGAAGAACAGAAGGCUGCUGUUGCAAAAAUUCAAGCCGACUUAGGUUUUGAUCAUUUGUAUACUGUUGAGCCACUUGGACUCAGCGAAAGUUUAGCCUUUUUUUUUAUGGAUGAAUUUCAAGUUAAUGUUUUAUUUUCAAAUCACUGUAUGAUUGACAUUGAGGCAGUCAUUGAUGGAAUAAAAGUCUAUAUGAUGUUUGUUUAUGGGGAUCCUGUACUAGAAAGACGAGAUCAAGUUUGGGAACGUCUUACGCGUUUCUCAACAACAACAACUGGACCUUGGUUCAUGAUAGGAGAUUUUAAUGAAAUUACGGGUCAUAAUGAGAAAGAGGAGGAAGACAACAUACUGAUAGUUCAUUUCUGCCCUUUAAGCAGAUGCUUAAUGAUUGUGGCAUGCUAGAGUUUCCUUUCACGGGGAACAUGCUCUCAUGGGUAGGAAAGAGAGCAGGAAGAACAACUGUUAGAUGUCGCUUAUACAGAGCAGUAGGAAAUGCGGAUUGGCAUGAGAAAUUUCCCCACUCUACUGUGAAGUAUAUGAGGUUAUGAGGAUCAGACCAUCGUCCGAUUCUUGCAGACAUACUCACAAAGCCAAUGUAAAGAUUAAAAAAAAAUUCAAGUUUGAUAAAAGGUGGCUGGACAAUGAGGAGUUAAGGCAAGUCAUUCUUGAGGGAUGGAAAUCACCUGAUCUCCCUCCCAAUGCGAUUAUUAUAGAACAUAUUUUUAGCUACCGAAAAGCCUUGAGCAAAUGGAGGAAACAACAUAAUGUUAAUUCGGCAAAAAUAGUGGAGGAGCUUAAAGAAAAAGUGGAAGGCUUGUACGCAAAUGAUAAUGCUACAACUGAGGAGAUUGCAGCAGCAUUGAAGGAACUCUCUGAUGCUCUUAAAGCAGAAGAAAUGUUCUGAAAAUAGAAGAGUCGAGUGUUUUGGCUGAGAGAAGGUGACAAAAUACAAAAAAAAAUUCAUGCAUUAACGAAGAAAAGAAUAGCACAAAAUAAGAUCACACAGCUCCGGAAUGCAAAUGGAAAUAUAGUUGAGGAUGAAGAAGGAUUAGUAGCAAUUGCUACUAGCUAUUUUAGGCAGAUCUUUAAAUCGUCUAACCCGGAGGACAUUGAAGAGGCACUGGCUCAAGUCCUUACGACGAUCACUGGGGCAAUGAAUGACAACCUUACAGCUCCAGUCACUGAAUGGAAGGUCAAAUUAGCGCUUUUUGCUAUGCAUCCAGAAAAGACUCCAUGCCCAUAUGGGAUGACUGUGCUUUUCUAUCAGAAAUUUUUGGAUAUUGUAAAGGAGGAUUUAACUCAUAUGGUUGAUAAAUUCUUUUUUUGAGGGGACUGUGGCGACCAGACUGAAUGAUACGAAUAUAUGUCUCAUCCCAAAGACUACAAAGCCUAAUGAAAUGACUCAAUUUAGACCCAUUAGCUUGUGUAACGUCAACUACAAGACAAUCUCUAAGGUCUUAUGCCAGAGAUUGAAGAACGUGUUACCAGGCUUGAUAUCGGAAACCCAGUCAAUUUUUGUUGCUGGAAGACAGAUUUCAGACAACAUUAUGAUUGCUCAAGAAAUGUUCCACGCUCUGAGAACUAAACCAAGUGGACGUAGUAAAAGGAUGGCUAUUAAGACGGACAUGAGCAAAGAAUAUGACAGGAUGGAAUGUCGUUUAUUGAAGCUGUCAUGCGCAAGAUAAGUUUUUCAGAAACAUGGAUCACCUGGAUAAUGAGAUGCAUUACGUCGGUGAAAUAUAAGGUACUCAUGAAUGGAAAGCCAAGAAUAAAUAUUGUUCCUUGUAGAGGCCUACGCCAAGGAGAUCCUUUGUCUCCUUUCAUUGUUAUUCUAUGCAUGGAAGCGCUCGGUAGCCUUCUCAAUCAUGCAGAGAGCCAAGAGAAGAUAACGAGGAUACGUGUCACACGUGCGUGUCCUUUGGUAUCCCACCUUCUCUUUGCUGAUGAUAGCCUUUUCUUCUGUAAGGCGGAGCCCCGUGAAUGUGAAGAAGUAAUGAAAGUAGUCAGGAAGUAUGGUAAAGCAUCAGGUCAAUGUAUCAACUUUGAUAAAUCGUCCUUACUCUUUGGUAAGCGGAUUAAUGCAACUAGUAGACAAGAGAUUAAAGAUGCACUUGUAAUACAAAACGAAGGAGGAAUGGGGACUUAGGUAUCCCGGAAGACAUAAGUGUUUUCAAGUGCAAAAUUUUUGCAUUUCUCAAGGAUAAGUUAAUGCAUAGAGUGAAUGGAUGGACAUGUAGAUGGCUAUCAAAAGGAGGGAAGGAAGUGUUGGUUAAAUCCAUUUUGUUUGCUCUUUCGACUUACGUUAUGUCUACUUUCCUGCUCCCGUUGGAGAUAUGUGAAAACCUAGCAAGGGCCAUUGCUCAAUUCUGGGGGAGUUCAAAUCCAUUAUGAAGAGAAAUACACUGGGAGAAAUGGGGAAAUGUCUGCCUACCAAGAGAGGAGGGUGAGAUUGGUUUUCUUUUGAUCCAUGAUUUUAAUCUGGCUCUAUUGGCGAAACAAUUAUGGAGGCUUGUUCAAUUCCCUGACUCUUUGGUUGCCCGGGUAUUGAGGGGAAGAUACUAUAGACUAAGUUUACCACUAAGAGUAAACUCUGCUAGCAGUCCAUCUUACGUGUGGACUAGCAUUUCUGUUGCAAGGAAGUUGUUGUUAUUGGGAAUCUGACAGAAGAUACAUUCAGGUUAUGAAGUCAAGGUGUGGGAGGAUCUGUGGAUCCCAACGACCCCUGUGAGACCAGCUAUUCCUGCGGCGCCAGUUAUGCAUCCCAAUAUGAGAGUUAGCGAUCUCAUUAAUCAGGUAUCGAACAUGCCUCGAGCCGUCCCCAAGGUAUGGAUGGCUUCAGAUAUGGACGGCUUCAGAUAUGUUUUCCGGAUUUCAACAUCAUUCAUAUUUUAAGAGCGCGCAAUCAGAUUUGAGACUUUUUAGCUAAGACUACUAGAUCUUUCUAUAGGGAAUUAUUUUUUAUUGGUUGUUCUAUUCUGGCCUGGUUACCCAGAUCACCUCAAGUUUGAGUUUUAGAAUGACCUUUUGACGUCAAAAAAAAAAAAACCCCCAAAAUAUGUAAAUCAUAUUUUCCAGUGUAUAAAUAACCAUCUAACCAGGUUCAUUUCAAGAUAGUUAUUUCAUCAGAUAGUUAAAACCCUCGUUUACAGUUCCUGUUCUGGAUUUGGGUCUUCAUAACUAUAGGAACCAAGAAUAAUCACAAUUAAUCUACUAUAACAAUAAUAGUUAUAAUAAUAAUAAUCGUCAGUCUAUUGAUGUAAAUAUAAGUAACAAGUUGGAUAAGAAACGUGAAAAUCUGUUUUUUUGGUCUAAAUGUGAAAUGUGAAAAUCUGUUAUCCAUUGAUGAAGAUGAUGAGUGUUAAUUACGCCGUGUAUAUAUACAUUUGAGAAAACCAACUCUAUGCCAUUGUAAACCAUCCAGUAAUUUAUAAUUAAUAUGUUUAAUGAUUCUUAAAUUAGUGUAAAACAAUUUAACUGUACAUUAAAACUGCUCCUUCAAGAUGGAGAUAGAUUUUUCCUCAAAAAAAAGAGAGAUGGAGAUAGAUGGUUUUUGCCAGAACAUAUGCAACGUGAUGUUCAGUUUUGACAAACAUGAUUUUCAUAAAACCUUCUUCAAGUUGCUUCCCGCAUGACAAUAGUUUAUUUAAGUGAACCCAUAAAAAGACAAUAAGUAAGAAUUUUGUGGGACGUUAUUGUGAGCAAUUAAACCUAUCUUGAUCCUCAGUUUUUGUUUUGGCGUUGAGCCUGCAUUAAAAAAAAUUGAACAAAGUCAUCACUAAUCAAUAUAUACUAAUCUUUAUAUCUUUAUAUAUAUAAUAGGUUUUGAUUCUCUCCCAGGGUGUCCACCUCAGCUGCCCGCACAUAAAUUCGAGCUCUAUGGUGUCAACACGUGUCCUGAAAAUACAAAACGCAACACUUCAUCGAGGCUUCUUCGCUGCACAGCGUUUCAUUUAAUCGUUUUUUUUAUGUUUGUUGGGCUUAUUCAUUUGCCCGUGUAUCUUUUACAUUUAUAUCCCAAUGGGCCCGGUGGACCAUUAUCGAUCGUCAACCCUAAUUGUUCUUACGGGAGGAAUCUAGGAUCAGGUUCAUCUCUCAUUCUCUCUCCUCUUCUGUUCUGCUUCCCCGAUCUCUGAAACGGCCGAUGGCUUCUGUGAUUAAUUCCAUAAACUCGAUCGGCCACGAUGGGGUCUCUUAAAUGUGUGGUUCACGUCGGCAGGGCGGUGUGUGUUUACGGUAUAAUAAAUAUGUCAGUACUUCAGCUCUUUGAAUCAUCUUUUCUCUCAUCUCUUUUAGUACCAGAUGUUAUAGAAGUUACUGCAGUAAAAAUUAUUGGUGAAGCGGCCUUACGACCACUGCCGUUCAGUGUGAAGCGGACUUCGUCGGAAGUGUAUGGCGAAGAUUAUCUUGGAGGAGAUGGAGUUGAGAUGAGGAUGAGAGCUCCUACUUUUCUUUGAAGAAAUUGAUCGACAACUCAAGACUAUUACUCGGUUAGCGCCGGUGCUCAUGUUCACCGGCGGCGUUAAAGAAGUUCUAUUUUUCGGCACCGUUUGUGACUUAUGUGUUAUCCCGAGUUUGUAACACGUGUUUAAAGAGGUGGCUUCAUUUUGCUAAGCCUUAUCAACUUCUGAUGGGUUUCUUUUAGGCGUACGUAGUUGGGUUUCAACAUCACCAUUUGUAAUCGAAAAGGCGACAAAAACGUAUAUCUUCUCACCUUAAUGCAGUGCCCGACUAUUCUCUCUCAAUCUAUAUGACUAUCUCCCAAUCUCUCUAUAUGAUUAUCUCUCAACCUCUUUCCCUUUAACUCCAUCAAUGUCUGCUUUUGUAGGAAACCCGUCACUUAAUCUAACUAAAAACUGAAAAGAUAAGUUUUUAACCUCUCCUCCAAUUCUCCAAUCAAAAGAAAGCAUGGUUUUUUUUCCUCUGUUAUGAAAACUGGGUUAUUAAAUCAUCUAUGUUUUAACAAGAUAGUGGAAGGCUCCUCUCUUUAUCUCUCUCUUGAAAGUUGGUCAAACUAUUAACUAAUUACAAAAAAUUCCGUUGUAAAGAAGACAGAAUGGUGUUUCAAAACUAAAAAAGACAGAAUGAGAAGAUGACUCGAGACGCCCAUUGGUAUACCACCACUAGAACCAAUACACAUCCAAUCUUGGAUCUUUUCGAUUUUGAAACAAAAAAACUCGCCCAAAAGUUCCUACAUACAUUAGGAGACAAACACCUGAUAAUUUUUAAAAUGAUUCUACCAUGGAAAUUAUUUUAUCAAAACCUUAACAGCCUCUUGGAUAAAAGAAAAAUAAUGACCGUUCCAAAGAUCUCAUGUAAUUUUGGUAUAUCUAAAUUCGGGAACUAAUGUUUCUUGGUAUACCUUACAAGAAUGAUAAGCAAAACAAGUGUCCAAACGCAUGCCCUCUCAACUCUAGAAAAUGAUUACCUGUCCGAUGAUGUUUGGGUUUCCUUUUUUCUUUUGUCAACCUCAUAUGUUUGAGUUUCCAAACGUAGAUUACAUGAACAUUUUAAAAUAUUAAUCUUACAACAAACAAAUGAAAAAAAUACAAUAGAAAGGAGAGACUACCACAAAAUUGUUUACUUACAAAAAGAAAGAAAAAAAAACCUU